rnacentral:rRNA from 1 species
GACGAACGCUGGCGGCGUGCCUAAUACAUGCAAGUUGAGCGCUGAAGGUUGGUACUUGUACCAACUGGAUGAGCAGCGAACGGGUGAGUAACGCGUGGGGAAUCUGCCUUUGAGCGGGGGACAACAUUUGGAAACGAAUGCUAAUACCGCAUAAAAACUUUAAACACAAGUUUUAAGUUUGAAAGAUGCAAUUGCAUCACUCAAAGAUGAUCCCGCGUUGUAUUAGCUAGUUGGUGAGGUAAAGGCUCACCAAGGCGAUGAUACAUAGCCGACCUGAGAGGGUGAUCGGCCACAUUGGGACUGAGACACGGCCCAAACUCCUACGGGAGGCAGCAGUAGGGAAUCUUCGGCAAUGGACGAAAGUCUGACCGAGCAACGCCGCGGGAGGGAAGAAGGUUUUCGGAUCGUAAAACUCUGUUGGUAGAGAAGAACGUUGGUGAGAGUGGAAAGCUCAUAAAGUGACGGUAACUACCCAGAAAGGGACGGCUAACUACGUG